rnacentral:sRNA from 1 species
GAUACCAGGGUACCAAGGGGAGGAAUCUGAUGCAAGCUUGCUUGCAAGAGGAUUUCUCCCCUUGGUACCCGCCCGAAACAUGAGUAAGGAGCCAUUUUUCGCAGAAAAAUGAGCGGAAUACGAAUGUUUCGGAGGAUUGCGUGAGCACGAAGUGCGGAGCAAUCCGGUAU